UUCAGCUUCUUGCUCCUUCCCCUUUGAAUUUUGACAUUUAAACAAAGAAAUGACUGAAUUCUUAUUUUAUUUACACUGUGGUACAUUGAAUGCCUCUCUUCCUCCCAAUUCUUCACUCCUCUCUGCAUCCACACCCUUGCCAUGGGACUUGGGAUUGGUUAUGGGACUUGACCCUGGCCAUGUGACUUGCUUUGGCCAAUAGCAUGUGGACAGAAGUGACAGGGUAGCAGAGCCAACCCUCGGCCUUCCUUGUAUGUUUCUGUUCACAUUCUUGAGCCUCGGCCAUCCCCCUGAGAAGAUCAUGCCCCAGCUGACUGCUGGUGCAAAGACCUGAGAGCCGUGUGGAGCAGAGCUGCCUAGCCAAGUCAUAGACCUACAGUGACAAGAAGAGGUGCCUAGCCAAGUCAUAGACCUACAGGGACAAGAAGAGGUGCCUAGCCAAGUCAUAGACCUACAGGGACAAGAAGAGGUGCCUAGCUGAGUCAUAGAGCUACCAUGAGAAGAAGAGGUACCUAGCUGAGUCAUAGACCUACCGUGAGAAGAAGAGCUGCCUAGCCAAGUCAUAGACCUACAGGGACAAGAAGAGGUGCCUAGCCAAGUCAUAGACCUACCGUGAAAAGAAGAGGUGCCUAGCCAAGCCCAGACUAGAUCACCCAAACCCCAGCUGGCCAGCGGAUGGGGAAGUGAUAAUCGCUGAUUGUUGUUAAGCUGCUGAGACUUGAGAAGGUUUGUCACACAGCGAUAGCUAACUGCUAUAUCUACCCACUUGCCACAACAGUGUGAAGGAGUAGGUUUUACUACCAUAGGCCUUUGAAGAGCUAACUUAUGUAUUAAGUCUGGUUAAGUGUUCCUAAUUUCUGAGUUCCUAAUUUAAGGGAUAGUCGUCCCUCGUUUCAAGGGCAUUUCUAAAGGGCUAGAAGAAGGGAAGAGGAAAGAAUGCUUUCUGUGUGCUCAGCACAGCGCUCAAUGCUUUCGCCUGGGUCAAGUUACAUGGAAUCUGUUGACCAUGAAGGCGUCACAGGCCUCCCUCUGCCAG
rnacentral:lncRNA from 1 species